rnacentral:rRNA from 1 species
AUUGAACGCUGGCGGCAGGCCUAACACAUGCAAGUCGAACGAGUGGAGGACGGGUGAGUAAUGUCGGGGAAAUUGCCUGAUGGAGGGGGAUAAAUAAUGGAAACGGUAGUUAAUACGGCAACCCAACAGAUGUGCCCAGAUGGGAUUAGCAAGUUGGUGGGGUAACGGUUCACCAAGGCGACGAUCCCUAGCUGGUCUGAGAGGAUGACGAGCCAACCUGGAACUGGGACACGGUCCAAACUCCUACGCUAGGAAGCAGUGGAGAAUAUUGCACUAUGGCCGCAAGCCUGAUUCAGCCAUGCCGCGUGUAUGAGGAGGGCCUUCGGGUUGUAAAGUACUUUCAGCGGGGAGGCGUUACCCGCAGAAGAAGCGCCGGCUAACUACGUGCCAGCCGCCGCGGUAAUAC